GCGGGUAUAGUUCAGUGGCAGAGAACUUGUCUGGCAUGUACAAAGCCCUUGGUUCAAUCCCCAGUACCCCCA
rnacentral:tRNA from 1 species